GCUUCUCUGGCGCAAUGGAAGCGCAGCUGUUUCGUAAUCAGCAGGCUGUCGGUUCAAAUCCGACGGGAAGCU
rnacentral:tRNA from 1 species